UACGGAGGGUGCAAGCGUUAUCCGGAUUCACUGGGUUUAAAGGGUGUGUAGGCGGGUAUUUAAGUCAGUGGUGAAAUCUCCGGGCUCAACCCGGAAACUGCCAUUGAUACUAUUUAUCUUGAAUACUGUUGAGGUAGGCGGAAUAUGUCAUGUAGCGGUGAAAUGCAUAGAUAUGACAUAGAACACCGAUUGCGAAGGCAGCUUACUAAACAGUUAUUGACGCUGAGGCACGAAAGCGUGGGGAUCAAACAG
rnacentral:rRNA from 1 species